UAGGGAAUCUUCGGCAAUGGACGAAAGUCUGACCGAGCAACGCCGCGUGAGUGAAGAAGGUUUUCGGAUCGUAAAACUCUGUUGUUAGAGAAGAACAAGGACGUUAGUAACUGAACGUCCCCUGACGGUAUCUAACCAGAAAGCCACGGCUAACUACGUGCCAGCAGCCGCGGUAAUACGUAGGUGGCAAGCGUUGUCCGGAUUUAUUGGGCGUAAAGCGAGCGCAGGCGGUUUCUUAAGUCUGAUGUGAAAGCCCCCGGCGCAACCGGGGAGGGUCAUUGGAAACUGGGAGACUUGAGGGCAGAAGAGGAGAGUGGAAUUCCAUGUGUAGCGGUGAAAUGCGUAGAUAUAUGGAGGAACACCAGUGGCGAAGGCGGCUCUCUGGUCUGUAACUGACGCUGAGGCGCGAAAGCGUGGGGAGCAAACAGG
rnacentral:rRNA from 1 species